rnacentral:rRNA from 1 species
UACGUAGGGUGCAAGCGUUAAUUCGGAAUUACUGGGUCGUAAAGCGUGCGCAGGCGGUGAUGUAAGACAGAUGUGAAAUCCCCGGGCUUAACCUGGGAACUGCAUUUGUGACUGCAUCGCUGGAGUGCGGCAGAGGGGGAUGGAAUUCCGCGUGUAGCAGUGAAAUGCGUAGAUAUGCGGAGGAACACCGAUGGCGAAGGCAAUCCCCUGGGCCUGCACUGACGCUCAUGCACGAAAGCGUGGGGAGCAAACAGG